GUGCUCACUUUGGCAGCACACAUACUAAAAUUGGAACGAUGCAGAGAUUAGCAUGGCCCCUGUGCAAGGAUGGCACGCAAGUUCAUGAAGCAUUCCAUAUUUGG
ensembl:snRNA U6 U6 spliceosomal RNA